rnacentral:rRNA from 1 species
GUCUUUUUGAGAAUAAUUUAAAGUCAAAUCUGCCCCCUGAUUUUAUUAAAGGGCUGCAGUAAAUUGACUGUACAAAGGUAGCAUAAUAAUUAGUCUUUUAAUUGAAGACUUGUAUGAAAGAUUUAAUGAGAUAUAAACUGUCUCUUUUUUAUAUUUUGAAUUUAAUUUUUUAGUAAAAAAGCUAAAAUUUGUUUAAAAGACGAGAAGACCCUAUAGAGUUUUAUAUUUAAUUUAGAUUAUAAUUUUUGUUAAUUUUAAAUAAAAAUUAAAUUAAAUAUUUUAUUGGGGUGAUAAAAAAAUAAAAUUAACUUUUUUUAUAGUGUGUAAAUUAUACAUUAAACAUUGAUUAAUGAAAAAAUGAUCCAUAAUUUAUGAUUAUAAGAAAAAAUUACCUUAGGGAUAACAGCGUAAUUUUUUUUUUUAGUUCAAAUAAAAAAAAAAGUUUGCGACCUCGAUGUUGGAUUAAGAUAAAAUUUAAAUGCAGAAGUUUAAAAUUUUUGAUCUGUUCGAUCAUUAAAAUCUUACA